GAAUCAAUUUGGUCAUUGGUGUC
rnacentral:siRNA from 1 species